AGUUCUUUCUACAAUUCCUCUCCUGUUUGAGCUCCUCUGCCUAUGUAGCUCAUUUUGAAGAAGAAAAAGAAAUCAGUUUCGCCUACUUUUCCAAACUUUUUUGAUAUUCUUUUUCUUUGACGUUCGAGAUCAGAAUGAUUUGAAUCACUUGAAGGCUUUCCUGUAUGUUAUGGUCCUACACUGAACAAUAAGAAGAUAUUGGACACUGGGGAAGUAGUAGCACUCCUUUUCACGGGAUUCUAAGAUAGAAUGAGGCUAAGUUCGGCAUUCGUUUUUGAUUACCCUCCUACUACCUACAUGUGAAGGGCAGCUUUGGAGGGACAGCGCUUGACUAGGUGCACAACCAGGCUUUAAAGAUGGUGUGAAGCCAGGGAUCCUGGGAUGUCCCAGCAGUGGUUCAUAAGGGUAAUCCAUUAUACACAAAGUAGACAUGUUGGCUUCAAUCUUACAUUUUUUUGGAUAAGACCGAGUUGUGUCGAGUUUUCCGGGGGUUUGUUGCUGUGAAACCAGCAAGUUCACUCAUUGUAUCUUGCCAGACUCAUCUCAUUAAUAACUUAGCACCCCAUGGCAUCUCUCAAGUCUGAUUUCCUCCCCAUCUUACCAUGCACUGGUCCAAGAUCAACUUGCCAGUCAGCAGAUAUCUCAGAAUUCUGGCAUCCCAUAUGGCUGCACCAUCUUUAAAAAAACUGUUGUACACCUGGACAAGCACUGUCAGUCUGGAGCUGCACGGUUAUUGACAUUUGUUUCAGAAAUGAAAGACAGGAAAAAAAUCAGCACUCUGCUUUGUGGGCAGGAUUCAGAAGGUCCUACUGGAUGGAACAAUACACAAACAGGACUUCCUCUUCCCCCGGACGAGCAGUGAAAGCCGUGAUACUAGACCAUGCCAGCCUAGUUGGAGGUUGAGACCCAGGUUAAAGCACUCUCAGGCAUCUGGAGAAAUGCCAAGCACAAUAGGAACAAGGUCAAUGUCGUUCUCCAGUCUGCUAAUGUAAGUUCCACCACCUUCCCUCAUAUUCACUCUAGCUCUGUUGCUGCACGCACCUCCCACCAAGGCUCAUGCUUCACCAUGCUCACUGUUGUCUGCAAAGAUCUUCCCUUCUCACUCACCCUAAGCCCUGACACCACUGAUCCUGCCUACUCAUUUGCCCAAGACACCUUUCCACCUGCAUUAAUAGUUGUGGCUGUGCCACCCACUUUCAUCUCUUGUAAUACCUGCCUCUCUCUCAAUCCAUGAUAGCAGCCACAACACGGUAGAAAGAGCCAAGAUGGGUGGUGUGCUUCCUGUCAUUCAACUCCUCACCAUUUACGAGAAAAGGAUCCUGAUUCUGACUACCCGAAGCAGGGCCUGGACUGAUAUUGGAAGCUGCCUUUGACUUACUUUGUGGAACACCCUCAGCAAAGUCUAUUUUUGUUUCUUAUAUCCAGAAGUGCUCUCACACAAGUGAACAUUCUUUUCCCACCACCAAAUUCCUGAGUGAAAUCUAUUCCCUUGAUUUAACUGAGGCUGAUUGACAACGGUGACAAGUUUCCUAGCUUUGUGUCUGUGCUAAAUGGCACAGCGAGGCAACAGUAACAUGAGCCUGGUAUCUGUGGCUGAGGGAUUGAUGUACAAAUAAAAGCAAUGCAAUGCAAGGCAAGGAUGUCUUCAGAAUCCAUAUAGGCCCAGAAUGGGUAAGUGCUAAGAUAGCCCACUCCAGUCUAUGAGCUGAGUGUAUCUCUGAGCACAAAGUGACCUUGCUGUGGCAUUACAAUGAUAGUUGCCAGUGCAGCUCAAGGUGCAUCAUUGAACAUCCUGUAAGCGGAUUGGAAAUGUAAAUUUAGUGCUCUCAGAGUCUGUCACAUCAGAUGCCAGUGCCUGUGCUCCUGGAUUGUGUGUGGCAAAUGCCCAUGGAAUACGUCCUCAGACACUGGUGCUCUGUGUCCAACAUGGAGGUUAUUCGGAACCAGCGGUGAGUUGAAUCUGACAGGUACACACUCUGGUUUCCUUGUCAGGAUUUUCCAAUGUUGAGCUUAUUUGAUGAGUUUGGUAGGAUAGGAGGCUGAAAAUUAAUGAGGUGAAUUGAGCUAUUGUAAAGCAAUAAUCACUUUCAAUUGGCAAAUUUCUACUGCCUAGUAAGAAUCUCAUCUCGCUGUUGUGAAAAGCAAAAAAUCAGCACAAGUUGGUCCCAAAGUUCAAAUGGCCCUCGCUGCACUUUGUCACCCAGUUCUGUCAAGCAUCUUGCUAUAGUCUACAUUGUUCAGACCUCUGUAGGAUCAUGCCGAUGAAUUAACUCUGUGAAUUAUUGAUGUUUGUUCAAUUUUACUCCAACUAACUUUUGGAAAGGAAAAGACUCUUUAAAUGUACAAAAAUAUGACUUUUUAAAAACAUUAUGUACCUUACAUCCGAAAUGCAGCUUUGCAAUUUAAAUGGAA